rnacentral:piRNA from 1 species
UAGAUCUGUAACUUGUCUGGGUGGA